CAGUUCGGAUCGGAGUCUGCAACCCGACUCCGUGAAGCUGGAUUCGCUAGUAAUCGCGCAUCAGCCAUGGCGCGGUGAAUACGUUCCCGGGCCUUGUACACACCGCCCGUCAAGCCAUGGGAGCCGGGGGUGCUUGAAGUGCGUCGCCGCAAGGCGCGCCCUAGAGCAAAACCGGUGACUGGGGCUAAGUCGUAACAAGGUAGC
rnacentral:rRNA from 1 species